CUGGUUCACUCUGCGCUACUGGUUUCUCGCUCAAACUUCAAGCUUCCAUGGGAGAAGCUUGAAGCUCGCUUGCUCCCUCUCUCUCCAUCUCUCUCUUCAUCUCUCUCUCUCUCUCUCUCUCUCUCUCUCUCUCUCUCUCUCUCUCUCUCUCUCUCUCUCUCUCUACCUUUCUCCUCCUUUCUCCUCCUUUCUCUCAUCAGUUCAAACCCUAGAAAUUGGGGAUUUCCAAAUCAAAGACUAGUUUGCUUUUGAUUUCUUGAAUUUUUGUGGAUAGCUAGGUUUUGUUUGUUGGUAAUGUGAGUUUUUGUUUAAAUUUGAUAAUGGGUUUUUUUUGUCUGGUAAAUAGAACCACCUUGCUUAUGGAUACCAAGGGCUUUCAAGGUUGAGAGGUACAAAGACAAAGAAAUCUCUGGGGUUGAAGCUGAAAGGGGAGAUUGUAGUGGAUCCCAAGAUCUCGGCCGUCGUAGCAAGGUUUGAUGACAAUCAUCUCUCUUUCUCAUUUUACAAUCUAUUUGGUUGCAGAUUUGGUUGCAGAGAACAUUUUACAAUCUCUCUUUCUCAUUUUAUUUUUAUUCCACAUCUUGUUAUAAUCAAAUGUAUGCUUAUGAAUGGGCAUAUUGCUUCUGAACUGUUCUCCAUUUGUUCUAUUUUACUUUCUUGUGAAACACUUAAACCACUGUUAUGUUUUGUCAUGGAAAGUUAAUUAAAAUCUAAGUCUUAUUUUGAUCAUUGUGUAUCCUCAAUUGUGCACUUAUUGAUGUGUUGAUACUGUUCAGUUACAACUAUAUCAUGGAAUCAAGCCCAAUUAAAUGAUAAACAUUUUAUGUUAUGGUACUACAGAAAUUGCAUUUUUACCCAAAAAUGUAUAUUAUUGUGAAACACAUUGUCUUCUUCAGAAUCUUCGACUUAUUGACAUUUGAAGAUGAAGAUAAGAGGUGCCACGUUGACACAAAUCAAAUCAAAAAUCUGGAUAGUUGCUCAAUGAC
rnacentral:lncRNA from 1 species